GGGUGACUGGUGCUGACAUCACCUCAGCCACCAACUCACAUAUGGCCUUCUGCGGAGAGAAGGUAUUUUUUGCUGACUUGAGAGGGAGAAGCCAGGAGGGUGGUUGGCUUGGCUUGGCGGGGUGGGGGGGAGAGUAGGGAGAGGAGGCCGGGUGUCCACAGACCCAUGUGUCACUCAAAUGUUCGCCUGUUCCUUGCAAGAGAUCUCACCCUAGCCUCCCCCUCCUGCCUCUAGCAGAUUUAGGGUUUAUUUCUGUCACUUGUCGUCUAUAAUGAAGACACACAGAGGACUGGGUUGCCCUCGCUCCCAUAUAUGCUAUUAGAUCAAUCUGCUUGCCGCGUCUUCUUCAUUUGCGCAGAAUUAAAUGUUAUAUAAUUACUCAAACAUGCUUAUGCCUGUACGUGUAUAAAAACACGUAUACGUGUUUUGAAACAUUCUUUUUAUUUUCUGAAUCAGAGCAAUAGCCCAUCUACCUCGGGAUGCAGUUUCUGACCAUGACCAAUCAGAUAUUCUACGUCCUGUCAUUUGUCUUCAGUAUCUGUUACUUGAGUGUGUGGCCUAUAAGCAUGGUUGCUGUGUCUCUGGCCAUUGUAGCUAGUAACCACAGGUCUUCCACCAAUAUGUAAUACUGUUGAAAACUACACAAACAGCUCUUUAUUGUGGAGGUUGUCAUAAUCCCUGUGGCAAGUGACUUCUUAUGUUUUUAAUGUAAUGGAGAGAGACUAUGGCCUCAUCUGCACAAAAUAUUUAAAUAUUUCUACUACUUUAAACAGUCAUGGCUUUCCCCAAAGAAUUAUGGGAGCUGUAGUUUGUUAUAAGUGCUGACUGCUGACAGGUGUGAGGAGACCCCUAUUCCCCUCACGGCGGUCAUGCCAGCAUUCUUAAAUUGUCAAUUCCUCUUCCCAGGGAACUCUGGGAAUUGUAGCUCUGUGAGGGCAAUGGGGGGGAUCUCCUAACAGCUUGCAGCACCCUUAGUGAACUACACUUCCCAAGAUUCAUUGCAGAAAGCCACAGCCAUUUAAAACAGUAUGAUACUGCUUUGAAUGCACAGUGCCUGUGAGGUCUAUAGCUGUCUUAAACCUGUUCCCAGCUGUACUGGGUGACCUCAGCAUUUUUCUUCAACGUAAUAAGAAAUGAAAUAAAACUAGGUUCUUGCAUUUCUUUCUUUUGUUCUCAAAAGGUUUUCAAGGGGAAAGUGCUGGGGCAAAAAAAAAGAAAAGAAAAAAAGCAUUCUGACGCAGUGUGGACCUGUGUCUAGAAACACAGACCUUCCAAGUGUCCUGAUUUUCCAGGGACAGUCUUAGAUUUAGAGAAGCUGUCCUGGUUUCUGAUUUGAUCCUGAAAUGUCCUGCUUUUCUUUAGGACAUCCCUAUUUUCAUCAAAUAAAUGUUGGAGGAUAUGGAGUUAUCUGACCCCCAAGCCAUCUGAAGGCAGUUCAGUGUUUGAUGUUUAAUAUUUUAUUAUGUUUUUAUAUAUGUUGGAAGCCACCCAGAGUGGCUGGGGCAGCUCAGUCAGAUGGGUGAGGUACUAUUAUUAUUAUUAUUAUUAUUAUUAUUAUUAUUAUAUAGGAUGCCCCUAUUUUCAUUGGAGAAAUGUUGGAGGGUAUGGAAAAACAGCACAAAAGGAAGUCUGGAUGAAGCCUCAGCAUUGUCUACAGUGAUUAGCAAUAGCUGUCCAGAUUUCAAGUUGAGGUUAUUUUAUUCUGGAACUUUCUCCACUGUCUCCUUCCUUGUGAGGCUAUAUUGACCUAUCUGCCUCCCUGCCCAGCCAGCGCAUCCAUUCGAGCAACCAUAUUAAUCAGUGAUCAUGGGUUGCCUGAAGCUUUCUUGCUGUGGUGUUUCAACAGACGUUAUGUACAAAUUGUUUUUAUUGGUUCAUGUCCUAAGGGCAUAAGCCUCCAACCCAAGAAAGCUGGCUCCAUGCGGUAAGAUUAUCACCUCUUGUUGGAUUGAUAGCAAGCUGUCUGAAGCUGGAUAAAAAUAGUAGCUAAGGUGUUGGUGGUUACUGAAAAUUCAAAUGAGAUAUUAAAAGCUGGAAACAAACAGAAAACUAAAAAUAAAUGAUUAACAUUUGAAUAAUAAUUUUGAGGCCCCUCCCCAGCCCAAGGAUCUUUGUAUAUGUGUGCAUCCAUCUUAUUCCAUUUUGCCUAAUCAAGAUGCCGGCUCUCAAGAAAUGGAACAAGGCACAGUUUUGUUGGCCAGUACUUGUCUAUAGGCACCCAGACCUUAAGAUCACACAGUGUGUUGUGAGGUGAGGUGAGAUGUAAUGCCAAGGCUUUGUGCCAUGGAUGGAAUAAUAAUAAUAAUAAUAAUAAUAAUAAUAAUAAUAAUAAUAAUAGGUUUUUUAGGGCCGGGGAGUUGCAGGGAGGGCAGGUGCUUGAGCAAUCUGAGUAAGAAGUUGGGAGCCAGUUCCUCUGCUAUGGCUUAAUCUCUGGGAGGGCAACUGGGAAAGGGGUGGGGGUCAGGGACAUGAACCAGAUUCCUUGAGCAUUGCAAACAUUCCCCCCACCAUCCCUGGUAUUUGACAUUUGUGUGGAAGUGACAGCUUCUUUCCAAGAAGUACCUGAACACAAGAAGAGUGCUAGAUAGAAGGAGCUCCAUCAACUCAUCAAGUAAAGAGGUGAUGAAUAUGUCUGCAUUUCUAAGGACUUGGUGGAGAGCGGGCAGGAGGAGGAGGAAGAGAGGGGCUCUUGCUCCCAAAAACUUUUUAAUCCAGGAAGGAGGAAGCAGGAAAAGAAGUGAGGUGAAACGUCAUAUUUACAGACAGGGCCAAGGUGGGGUUUUAACCUGUGUUGUUUUGAGAAAGGAUUCCCCACCGAAACUGGCGGCGUAUUUUUUCACGGCAGCUGUUCAUGUUCUGGGUGAACGUUGAAGCACGGAGCUUUUCCUCAGGGACACCCCUGGAGCCAAGAGAGGGAAGCUGAGUAUGCUGACUGAACAGCACCAUCUGAUCUCACACUCAGCCAGAGACAAGAACUGCACCAUGCCAG
rnacentral:lncRNA from 1 species